AUUGAACGCUGGCGGCAGGCCUAACACAUGCAAGUCGAGCGGAUGAAGGGAGCUUGCUCCUGGAUUCAGCGGCGGACGGGUGAGUAAUGCCUAGGAAUCUGCCUGGUAGUGGGGGAUAACGUCCGGAAACGGGCGCUAAUACCGCAUACGUCCUGAGGGAGAAAGUGGGGGAUCUUCGGACCUCACGCUAUCAGAUGAGCCUAGGUCGGAUUAGCUAGUUGGUGGGGUAAAGGCCUACCAAGGCGACGAUCCGUAACUGGUCUGAGAGGAUGAUCAGUCACACUGGAACUGAGACACGGUCCAGACUCCUACGGAGGCAGCAGUGGGGAAUAUUGGACAAAGGGCGAAAGCCUGAUCCAGCCAUGCCGCGUGUGUGAAGAAGGUCUUCGGAUUGUAAAGCACUUUAAGUUGGGAGGAAGGGCAGUAAGUUAAUACCUUGCUGUUUUGACGUUACCAACAGAAUAAGCACCGGCUAACUUCGUG
rnacentral:rRNA from 1 species